rnacentral:rRNA from 1 species
UACAGAGGGUGCGAGCGUUGUUCGGAAUUAUUGGGCGUAAAGGGCGCGUAGGCGGUGCGGUAAGUCACCUGUGAAAUCUCCUGGCUCAACUGGGAGCUUGCAGGCGAAACUGCCGUGCUGGAGUGUGGGAGAGGUGCGUGGAAUUCCCGGUGUAGCGGUGAAAUGCGUAGAUAUCAGGAGGAACACCUGUGGCGAAAAGCGGCUCACUGGACCACAACUGACGCUGAGGCGCGAAAGCUAGGGGGAGCAAACAGG